rnacentral:rRNA from 1 species
UACAGAGGUCUCAAGCGUUGUUCGGAUUCAUUGGGCGUAAAGGGUGCGUAGGUGGCGACGUAAGUCAGGUGUGAAAUUUCGGAGCUUAACUCCGAAACUGCAUUUGAUACUGCGGUGCUUGAGGACUGGAGAGGAGACUGGAAUUUACGGUGUAGCAGUGAAAUGCGUAGAGAUCGUAAGGAAGACCAGUGGCGAAGGCGGGUCUCCGGACAGUUCCUGACACUGAGGCACGAAGGCCAGGGGAGCAAACGGG